rnacentral:snoRNA from 1 species
UACCAAAGUUUUUUGUCAGGAUAUUCCAUCUGCCAAUAUGGUUUAUCUGUUACAACUUUGGGAGAUCAUGUUCGCCAAUCGUCGGUCGGUGUCGUUUUGAUGUUGUCCGACACCCUGCUGUGCUCCGUUUUGGAGCCGGCAACAUGGUGUUUUGGGCCUUUAUGAGUUGAAGGAGUCUUAGUUACCGGCUUCUUCGUAGUAAAAGGCCCAACAUUC